rnacentral:rRNA from 1 species
AACGAACGCUGGCGGCAUGCCUAACACAUGCAAGUCGAACGAGACCUUCGGGUCUAGUGGCGCACGGGUGCGUAACGCGUGGGAACCUGCCCUUAGGUUCGGAAUAACUCCCCGACAGGGGUGCUAAUACCGGAUAAUGUCUUCGGACCAAAGAUUUAUCGCCUUUGGAUGUGCCCGCGUUGGAUUAGCUAGUUGGUAGGGUAAAAGCCUACCAAGGCGACGAUCCAUAGCUGGUCUGAGAGGAUGAUCAGCCACACUGGGACUGAGACACGGCCCAGAAUCCUACGGGAGGCAGCAGUGGGGAAUAGUGGACAAUGGGGGGAAGCAUGAUGCACCAAGGCCGCGUGAGCGAUGAAGGCAUGAGGGUUGUAAAGCUCUUUUAACCGGGAUGAUAAUGACAGUACCGGGAGAAUAAGCCCCGGCUAACUCCGUG